AGCGAACGCUGGCGGCAGGCUUAACACAUGCAAGUCGAGCGGGCACUUUCGGGUGUCAGCGGCGGACGGGUGAGUAACGCGUGGGAACGUGCCCUCUGGUUCGGAAUAACUCAGGGAAACUUGAGCUAAUACCGGAUACGAUCUCUUGGGGAAAGGCUUGCUGCCGGAGGAUCGGCCCGCGUCUGAUUAGCUAGUUGGUGAGGUAACGGCUCACCAAGGCGACGAUCAGUAGCUGGUCUGAGAGGAUGAUCAGCCACACUGGGACUGAGACACGGCCCAGACUCCUACGGGAAGCAGCAGUGGGGAAUAUUGGACAAUGGGCGCAAGCCUGAUCCAGCCAUGCCGGGUGAGUGAUGAAGGCCUUAGGGUUGUAAAGCUCUUUUAUCCGGGACGAUAAUGACGGUACCGGAGGAAUAAGCCCCGGCUAACUUCGUG
rnacentral:rRNA from 1 species